AGGGGUAUAACUCAGCAGUAGAGCAUUUGCCUAGUAUGUGGGAGGCCCUGGGUUCCAUCCCCAGCACCCCCA
rnacentral:tRNA from 1 species